UAAAACAGGCAUGAGGAGUCUGAAUGAGGUUGCUAGAAUAAAAAUGUCGUGGGGUUUGGGUACAACCUAAACAGGUGUGGCGACCCUCGAGGUCUGCCUUCUUCCCAACAUUUAUGAGGCUUGGGGCGUGGGUCGGAGACGGUUACCUCCAAGUCCGGCCAAGGGUAUGACCAUCCCCAUUUGGGAAAAGCAGCAAUAUCGAAAAAGCAAAAAAAAAAUGAAAAAUGAAAGAAAGGAGAAAACGAGUGAGCAAAGGAAAGCGAGUGAAAGAAAGUGUAUAUAGUAGAUUAUAACUAGUAGUAU
rnacentral:lncRNA from 1 species